ACAUAUAAGUGAUAUCAUGUGAUUUUCCACUUUUUCUAUCUGGCUUAUUUCGCUUAGCAUGAUUAUCUUGAGGCCUGAUCAGGCUGGCUAGGUGGGUGUCCCCUUCCUCCCUCACUGCUCCAUGUGUGUCCCUCCCAAAGCUGCGCACUCAGUGGAAGAGGACAACCUUCCCUGAUAGAGGAGAGGACCGUUCUUUGGUCAAGGGUAUACGACGAGUAGCUGCACUCCCCUGCUAGAACCUCCAAACAAGCUCUCAAGGUGAAAAAUUUAAAUUCAGCAAAUUUUAUACUGACUAACGAAUUGAAUUUUC
rnacentral:snRNA from 1 species